AACGCACCUUGCGCCCUUUGGUAUUCCGAAGGGCAUGCCUGUUUGAGUGUCAUAUAGACUCAUCUCUCCAGAUUUUCUAAUCUGGUUAGGUGGAUUGGGCUCUUCCCUUUGCUGGGUGGCCUUAAAGACGUUAGUGAGAUUAGCUGGAAGUUGGCGUAAUAAGUUUCGUCAACGUCAAGGCAAAGCUUGCUUUACCCCUAUAAACACUUUUAAUCUUGACCUCAAAUCAGGUAGGACUACCCGCUGAACUUAA
rnacentral:misc_RNA from 1 species